AUCCAAUACGAAAAUAAAUCGAACGGUAAUUUUAACCAUUAUUAAAGUUUGCAGCACUUAAUUUAGUUACGUGCUGGCUUUCCAUUUCUGAUUACACCAUAAGGAAGUUAUUUUACUGAGAAAUGUUAAGAUAAAGUAUAGGCAUUCCCACACAUUCUUGAUAUUUUUUUUCCUGGCGUAUAUUUAUUAGAGUCCACUCAAUCUACUUCAAUUGCUAGGUGAUGCAGAAUCACUGGAGCCUUUUUUUUUUUUUUUUUUUCUCCAGCAACAUGUUUGCAGGGUAGAAGCAGACUGUGAAGAUGCUUAUCUGCACACACCAUGUCCAGCACAAGUGGAUAUAAAUGUAAAUGUUUCUCCCAUCUCGGAUCAAGUUCGCAGAAGCAAACCCAGCACGUUUAGCGUCUGCAAACGGAGCUAACUUUGGUGAUAGCACCAAAACCCAUUGCUAACAGAUUUGGGGGCACUGUGUGAGCUGUGACUUCUGCCUGAGAGUGUGCCCACCCCACCAGGUACAUGGUACACGUGGUGGCAGAGCCGCUGAGCCUCCCGUGCCAGUGGGACAGCUGCCAGCCCUGCAGGCUGGUUUGCAGGGCGGGUGCCUGAGCAGCUCAAGUGCUUAGGAGUGGCAGUGUUAGGACUGUUUGUCUUGCUAUUGCAUCCUCCUGGGGGGUGAAAAUGCCUCGGCUGCUCCCGGUCCGAACUGCAGGUCUGGAUGGUGCUGGAUGUGGCUGGGGUGGUCUCACCCCAGGGGGAACGCUGCCUGUGGUGGCCAGCUGGCAAUGUAAGGGGAGGUUUGGGCCGGCACCCCCACACCCUGUUUAUUGCCUUUCGCUUUGAGAAGCAGGUUUAUGAGCAAUGGGACUGCUUUUCGAAGUGCACCCUGUGCAGAGAUGCACGGCUUAACCCCUCAGACUGAUGCCUGUGCUGUUUCCUCGCUGCAGAGGCCAAGCAGCUGUGUUUCAGCUUGGGGGUUCUGACCAGCCCAGGUGGAGAUCCUCAGCUGAAGACCCUGAAGCCAUAAAGGGGCUUGCUCCUCAGCGGCUGCUCUGCUUUAACCCCAGUAGUGCCUUUUGGGCUGCUGGCUCCUCAGGCUGCCUGGGUGAGGCUGCCUGCGGCCCCCUGAGCUCACCCAGGACUUUUCCUGAUCCAUGUCCCUGGUGUGCAGAGAGCGAGCUGCAGCGCACACCCGUGCCUGUUUCCUGUUCAGCGAGGAGUAGGAAGAAGCCACCGAGGCUAACAGACACCCACGGCACCUAUAUCAUCACUGGGCUGCGAUGCAUUCAGCGUACUGAACAGUAA
rnacentral:lncRNA from 1 species